rnacentral:tmRNA from 1 species
GGGGGCGCAAUGGUUUCGACAGGUUUUGUGAAACUUGGUCAGCGGGUAGUGGCGCGGACACACUUUAAAAUCCGCACUUAAAUUUUAAACGGCAAUAAACAAUUGUCAGCUGUAGCCUAAAUAGGCUACCGUCCGUGCUUUGAGUACCGCGGCAGAGCAACGGGCGUCGAUUAGCGGUUAAUCUGAACGGCGCCACUCCUUUAACGCCGUCAGAAACCAAAGGAUACCGCACGCCGAUUUUGAACGUUUAAAGGCGCUGCGGGAAAUUUCAAAACGUCCUGCACCCGGAGAGCCCAAGCGGAACGGAGUCUGGACACGGGUCCGAUUCCCGUCGCCUCCACCA